CGUAGGGGGCAAGCGUUGUCCGGAUUUAUUGGGCGUAAAGCGCGUGUAGGCGGCCAUGUAGGUCUGACGUGAAAUCCCGAGGCUCAACCUCGGCAGGUCGUUGGAAACCAUAUGGCUAGAGUCCGGAAGAGGAGAGUGGAAUUCCUGGUGUAGCGGUGAAAUGCGCAGAUAUCAGGAAGAACACCGAUGGCGAAGGCAGCUCUCUGGGACGGUACUGACGCUGAGACGCGAAAGCGUGGGGAGCGAACAGGAUUAGAUACCCUGGUAGUCCACGCCGUAAACGAUGGGUGCUAGGUGUGGGCGGUGUCGACUCCGUCCGUGCCGAAGCUAACGCAUUAAGCACCCCGCCUGGGGAGUACGGCCGCAAGGCUA
rnacentral:rRNA from 1 species